rnacentral:lncRNA from 1 species
UUUCCUUUUUCUUUUUUUUUUUUUCUCCAGACGGACUGUUGUGCAGACUCAGGCAGCUCACUCGGGGCUGGGCAGCAGACAGUGAUUAUCGUCACCCCCUGCUUUCAUCCAUUACGGCGGGUGUUAGCAGAUGUGGGAUUUGAGACCCAAAGAAGUGAAGUAACCUGCCCAAGUUUACACAGCUUGGAGUAGAACCCGAGUUUCUAUGGACUCCAGAGCUCAUGAGUUCACCACUUUUCUGUGCCUCCUAACUCUAUGCCGCUGAGGACUCAGAAGAAGCCAGUGCUAAUGCUUUCUCCAGUUUCUCUCCUCUUGUGUGAACUGUGUGAACUGCCACUUUAAGACUCUCUUGGAGAAUCAUAAUCCAAGUUGCGAAGUCCAACAAUUCCUCUGGAGAAAUGGUUCUCAACUGGGGGCAAAUUUGGGCCCCAGGAGACAUAUGGCAAUGUCUGACAAUGUUUUUUUGAUUGUUACAAACAGGUUGGGGAGAGAGUCCUGCUAGCAUCUAGUUGGUAGAGGCCAGGGAUAAUGCUGAACAGCCUGCAGGACACCCCGAACCCCAUCAAAGACCCAAAACGUCAAUGGUACUGAGGUUGAAAAACCCUGGUCUGGAGUUUUAAUCAGUUGGCCAUUUUUCCCAUCCCAUGUUGAAAUAUUUGUAUUUAAAACAUUACAUCUGGUUUAUUUUUUCAAGAUAAUGUCCAGUGUACAGUGGAAAAUGAUGUGUUUUCCUAUCACUUUGCUCAAGAAUAAAGCUGUAAUAUUUGCAAAAUAGAUAACCUUAGUUGUCACUCAAAAUGUAAACUGUCAUAAGGGAUAAGAGAUUAACUGAUUUCACUGUCAACCUUUACAGUGUCAUUAUUUUUCCCUGUAACUGUCUGCUUGAUAUCCUUGCUGACGAAGAUGUUUUAAAAUGGAAGACAAUUAGAGGCUUUAUGUUUAUGAAAAAUGAAGUGUUCACACACAAAAGAAUGCACAGUGGACCUUUUAUGGGAUGUUUAAAAUAUCCUUUCAUUAAAAGAUUUUCUUAAGUGGCUGUUUGUCACUUAAUAGGAA